rnacentral:rRNA from 1 species
UGGGGAAUUUUGGACAAUGGGCGCAAGCCUGAUCCAGCCAUGCCGCGUGCGGGAAGAAGGCCUUCGGGUUGUAAACCGCUUUUGUCAGGGAAGAAAAGGUUCUGGCUAAUACCUGGGACUCAUGACGGUACCUGAAGAAUAAGCACCUGCUAACUACGUGCCAGCAGCCGCGGUAAUACGUAGGGUGCAAGCGUUAAUCGGAAUUACUGGGCGUAAAGCGUGCGCAGGCGGUUAUGCAAGACAGAGGUGAAAUCCCCGGGCUCAACCUGGGAACUGCCUUUGUGACUGCAUGGCUAGAGUACGGUAGAGGGGGAUGGAAUUCCGCGUGUAGCAGUGAAAUGCGUAGAUAUGCGGAGGAACACCGAUGGCGAAGGCAAUCCCCUGGACCUGUACUGACGCUCAUGCACGAAAGCGUGGGGAGCAAACAGG